rnacentral:lncRNA from 1 species
GUAUCAUAAGUCUGAUAGCUGGUCAAAACAAACCAACGUCUUAUUCUCCCCGCUGAGUAUUAUUGCUUCCUCUCUGAUGCUCUCCCUGGGGGCAAAGAACAACACCCAUGACCAGAUCCUGGAGGGACUGAACUUCAACCUCACAGAAACACCUGAGAAUUUCAUCCAUGAAUGCUUUCAGCAACUUACAUAUAUCCUGCAUCUGCCAGACCACACACCGCAGCUGACAAUGGACAGCAGCCUGUUCACUGACCAGAAGCUGAAGCUUAUGGACAAGUUCGUGGAAGACGUCAGGAGGCUAUACCACUCAAAGGUCAUUGCUCUCAACUUCAAGG